rnacentral:rRNA from 1 species
AUAGCUUGCUCUUAUGAAGUUAGCGGCGGACGGGUGAGUAACACGUGGGUAACCUGCCCAUAAGACUGGGAUAACUCCGGGAAACCGGGGCUAAUACCGGAUAAUAUUUUGAACUGCAUGGUUCGAAAUUGAAAGGCGGCUUCGGCUGUCACUUAUGGAUGGACCCGCGUCGCAUUAGCUAGUUGGUGAGGUAACGGCUCACCAAGGCAACGAUGCGUAGCCGACCUGAGAGGGUGAUCGGCCACACUGGGACUGAGACACGGCCCAGACUCCUACGGGAGGCAGCAGUAGGGAAUCUUCCGCAAUGGACGAAAGUCUGACGGAGCAACGCCGCGUGAGUGAUGAAGGCUUUCGGGUCGUAAAACUCUGUUGUUAGGGAAGAACAAGUGCUAGUUGAAUAAGCUGGCACCUUGACGGUACCUAACCAGAAAGCCACGGCUAACUACGUGCCAGCAGCCGCGGUAAUACGUAGGUGGCAAGCGUUAUCCGGAAUUAUUGGGCGUAAAGCGCGCGCAGGUGGUUUCUUAAGUCUGAUGUGAAAGCCCACGGCUCAACCGUGGAGGGUCAUUGGAAACUGGGAGACUUGAGUGCAGAAGAGGAAAGUGGAAUUCCAUGUGUAGCGGUGAAAUGCGUAGAGAUAUGGAGGAACACCAGUGGCGAAGGCGACUUUCUGGUCUGUAACUGACACUGAGGCGCGAAAGCGUGGGGAGCAAACAGGAUUA